UACAGAGGAGCCAAGCGUUGUCCGGAUUGACUGGGCGUAAAGCGCACGCAGGCGGACGCGCGCGUGGGUGUGAAAUCUGGCCGCUUAACGGCCAGGCGCCAUCCCAUACGGCGUGUCUGGAGUGAUGCAGAGGUCGGUGGAAUUGCCGGUGUAGUGGUGAAAUGCGUAGAGAUCGGCAGGAACACCCAGGGGAAACCGAG
rnacentral:rRNA from 1 species